CAGAAGUCAUGCUUCCUGCUU
rnacentral:snRNA from 1 species